GAUGAACGCUGGCGGCGCGCCUAACACAUGCAAGUCGAACGAUUAGAGCACCUUCGGGUGUGUAUAAAGUGGCGAACGGCUGAGUAACACGUGGGCAACCUGCCCCUCUCAUUGGGAUAGCCACGGGAAACCGUGGAUAAUACCGAAUACUUCGAGACUUCCGCAUGGAAGACUCGAGAAAGCUCCGGCGGAGAGGGAUGGGCCCGCGGCCUGUUAGCUUGUUGGUGGGGUAACGGCCUACCAAGGCAAUGAUGGGUAGCUGGGUUGAGAGACCGACCAGCCAGAUUGGGACUGAGACACGGCCCAGACUCCUACGGGAGGCAGCAGUGGGGAAUCUCGCACAAUGGGCGAAAGCCUGAUGCAGCGACGCCGCGUGCGGGAUGAGGGCCUUCGGGUUGUAAACCGCUUUCAGCAGGGACGAGGCGAAAGUGACGGUACCUGCAGAGGAAGCCCCGGCUAACUACGUGCCAGCAGCCGCGGUAAUACGUAGGGGGCAAGCGUUAUCCGGAUUCAUUGGGCGUAAAGCGCUCGUAGGCGGUCUGUUAGGUCGGGAGUUAAAUCCGGGGGCUCAACCCCCGUUCGCUCCCGAUACCGGCAGACUUGAGUUUGGUAGGGGAAGGUGGAAUUCCUAGUGUAGCGGUGGAAUGCGCAGAUAUUAGGAAGAACACCAGUGGCUAAGGCGGCCUUCUGGGCCAUAACUGACGCUGAGGAGCGAAAGCUAGGGGAGCAAACAGG
rnacentral:rRNA from 1 species